AGAACGAACGCUGGCGGCAUGCCUAACACAUGCAAGUCGAACGAGACCUUCGGGUCUAGUGGCGCACGGGUGCGUAACGCGUGGGAAUCUGCCCUUGGGUUCGGAAUAACAGUUGGAAACGACUGCUAAUACCGGAUGAUAUCGAAAGAUCAAAGAUUUAUCGCCCAGGGAUGAGCCCGCGUAGGAUUAGCUAGUUGGUGAGGUAAAGGCUCACCAAGGCGACGAUCCUUAGCUGGUCUGAGAGGAUGAUCAGCCACACUGGGACUGAGACACGGCCCAGACUCC
rnacentral:rRNA from 1 species